UCGCCCUACGGGGCGCAGCAGUGAGGAAUAUUGGUCAAUGGCCGAGAGGCUGAACCAGCCAAGUCGCGUGAGGGAAGACGGCCCCACGGGUUGUAAACCUCUUUUGUCGGGGAGCAAAGAGAGUCACGUGUGACUCCUUGAGAGUACCCGAAGAAAAAGCAUCGGCUAACUCCGUGCCAGCAGCCGCGGUAAUACGGAGGAUGCGAGCGUUAUCCGGAUUUAUUGGGUUUAAA
rnacentral:rRNA from 1 species